CUCUAGUACAUUUUUACUUUCAGUUCAUAACUGACUGUCACACGCGUAGCAACUCCAGCAGGAAUAAAAACAAUCUUUGACCUAAGUCAUGGACCAGUACUGGUGUAAUUUUUUUAGCAGCAAGGAGAAUUCCAAAAAGAAGGAGAUGGAAAAUCGAGCCAAGCUGGAUGUAAUGAGAUAUAUACGGGAAUGUUCUGGAAAAAAAUAUGAUAAGCCAGUAACUCUGGCAGAUUGGGACGACAAAAGUAAUUUGGAGCAGGAAAUAGUGGACCAGAUGCGGCACUUAGGCUUAAAGUCGUGGAGCGAAUGUUCGGGACCGGAGGAACCCCUAAACUUGCCAGGGUUGCCACCUUCUAAAAGUCCAAUGGAGCUGGGCACUGGAAACAAUAGCUUUCCGCUAGUUGUGGAUCCGGAAUACUUUAAUCGGUUACACAUCUCUCCUGUUAAAAAUAAGAAAGACGUCUAACUGGGAUAUAAAACAUUUAAAAUAUCUGACCCUUGCGGAUGUCAUUCUGCUUUUUUGGCGCAGUCACGCUAAUUAGCCCCAGACAAGGACAAGCCAUCAGGCGACCACGCCCACGCCAUUUCAACCCAUUCGAAAGUCCUGCCAGACAAAAGGAGACCAAACCAAAGCUCGUCCUGC